GCGGAACGGCCGAGGCUCUGAGAGUGGGGGAUGCAACACGAACUCCGUCCCCUGCAGAGUCGGUGCCUUCGGGGGCUCCACCGCCGCACGCUCCGACUUGCAAGGUCUGCAAGACAGAACGGGAAAGAACUCCUCCCAUCACUCAUGGGAGAAAAUGAAGCUCUGUACUGGCCUCUAUCAGAGAAGCUCAAAAUUUCCCUCUUUCCUGCAAGUGUCCCAAACCCCAUGACUCUGAUUUCCAGUCAAGCUUUUACCUCCCCUCCUUCCUGGAGAAAAUCAGAGAGAAGUUUCAAAGGAUAUCCAUAACACAGCCUACAUUUAGGGCCUGGGGAUGUACAAUGGAUUUGUUUUAAAUGAGACACCCCACGUGGAAAAUAAACAAGCGAGAAAAGUUCAUCUGUGGAUAUAACUCCAGUUCCAACAACUGUGGUGACAGUCACACUGUCUGAGUAAAGGUCCCCCAGAGUCAUCUUGAGAGCAAAAUGAUUAUUAAUUGAGGUUUCUGUGAGUUGAAAGAUGGGUUGUUCAUAAAGAAGAGGAACUUUUCUAGACCUCGAGAAACUGAAGACACAGCUCCUGGGUUGUUCUAAAAGGUGAAGUGUCUUUUGAAAAUUGAAUUAAUUAAAAAC
rnacentral:lncRNA from 1 species